GGCAGACGGGUGAGUAACGCGUGGGAGCGUGCCCAUCGGUUCGGGAUAACCCAGGGAAACUUGGGCUAAUACCGGAUACGCCCUUUGGGGGAAAGAUUCAUUGCCGAUGGAUCGGCCCGCGUCUGAUUAGCUGGUUGGUGAGGUAACGGCUCACCAAGGCGACGAUCAGUAGCUGGUCUGAGAGGAUGAUCAGCCACACUGGGACUGAGACACGGGCCCAGACUCCUACGGGAGGCAGCAGUGGGGAAUAUUGGACAAUGGGCGCAAGCCUGAUCCAGCCAUGCCGCGUGAGUGAUGAAGGCCCUAGGGUUGUAAAGCGUCUUUCAGCCACGACGAUAAUGACGGUAGUGGGAGAAGAAGCCCCGGCUAACUUCGUGCCAGCCGACGCGG
rnacentral:rRNA from 1 species